ensembl:lncRNA
UUUUUUUCUUUCUUUUUUUUUUUUUAGCUGGGGUCUUACUCUGUCACCAGGCUGGAGUGCAAUGGUGCAUUCUCAGCUCACUGCAACCUCCGACUCCCUGGUACAAGUGAUUCUCCUGUCAAGCCAGGAUUACAGGCAUGCACCACCAUACCUAGCUAAUUUUCGUAUUUGUAGUAGAGAUGGGGUUUCACCAUUGGCCAGGAUGGUCCUGAUCUUCUGACCUUGUGAUCUACCCGCUCCAGCCCCCCAAAAUGCUGGGAUUACAGGCAUGAGCCACCACACUCAGCCUUCUUUUCAUCUCUUAAAACAAUGCUGUGUGAAGUCUUCCUUGAUUCUGCAUGUCUUUCCCCAAAUAAACAGGUACCUCCCUCCCUGAGGCUGCCUUAGUACUUCAGUGAUUUUUCUACUGCAUCUUUACCACCCGAACUGUGCAUUAUUCCUCCACGUGUCUGUCCCCUCUGCUCCAAGACUGCAGAGGACAAUCCUGCACAUCGUCUAACUCACAUUUUACUCAGAAAUUUCUUACUGAGUCCUGCUACAUACAUGCUAGGCAUUAGGGCUUAAAAAGAAUGAAAAUAAGGCAUGUCAGGGAUGGCUUUUCUAGAACACAUGCCUAAGCAGAGACUGAAAUAUUGAGGCUAGCCAGAUUAAAAGGGUAGAGGCAGGAAAAGAUGACAGCAUGCCAUGCAGCAGCAAGGGCAGGAGUGAGGCCUAAAAGAGGGAAAGGAUUUGCCUGCAAUAGAAGGAUGAGUGAGCAGAGCAUUACCAGCAGGUCAUCAAUGCCAGAGAAAGGGCACACAGGGAAAAGGGCUAAAGAUGGAGAGUGGGGCAGAAGGCAGAUUAUGAAAGCCUCACAUCCAGGUUAAAUACUAGUGUACAACCUGGAAAGCUGGAAAUUAUCUGACAUUUCUCUCUGUGCCCCAAACCUUUCUCACUCAAUUAUCACUAAAUCAUAUUGACUAUACCUCUUUUCUGCCUCUGCUUUAUACUCCCACUACCACUGGGAACAUAAACAUUUACAAAAUGGUUUUUAUUUAAAAGAAAAUGCCAACUAUUAAUGCGUUUUUACAUGAAAAAAUUAAGCAAAACAAAUGAAAAAAGCAUAACACCAAAAAAAGGCCAACAUAUUAAAAUGAGUAACUGAGAUUCUGAACUUUAUUUAUUUCACCGUGGAUGGGUGAAAACCUUCUAAUACACUGAUACUAGUCCAAGGAUGUGUGACAAGGAAACUAUAGUUCACUACUGCAAAAGCUUCCUUUGUCUCCUGGUUUCUUUACCUGGUUCCCUUCCAUCAAUUCCAGCAAACUAUAGGCCACAGGCCAAAUCUGAUCUGCCUAUGGCUUUGUAAAUAAAGUUUUAUAGGAGCUCAGUCAUGCCUCUUUGCUUACAUAGCAUCAUCGUGGCUUUCACACUACAACAGCAAACAACAGCAGGGUAAGUAGAUAUGAUAGAGACCACAUAACCUCAAAUAUUACCCACCUGGUCCUUUACAGAAAAAGCUUGCUAACUCGUUUUACACCAUGACCAGAAGGCCUUAGUACUAAAAUUUAAUAUUGCAAUUCCCCUGCUCAAAUGUCUCCAAUGAGCCUCUGCAGCAAACACUGUGGUCUCCCUUGCAAUAGCCAUGCCUUAUUCUUUCUUGCAGAAGAAACACAAGUCUAUUGGGAUAUUUAUUAUCUCAAUCCCCCUCCUCAGCCUCAGAAACAGAAAUGUUUAUUCUAAGCUAAUCACAUAUUUGCCUUCCCAGUGCCUGGUUUGGGAAUGAGCAUGUGAUGUGACCCAGCCAAUGAAAUGUUACAGGAAGCCCCUUGCAUGCUUCUAAGUUUUCUCCCUGUUUAAAAGACACAUGUGAAGAAAAGCAGCUCUUGUGAUGUUGUGCUGUGAGAACAAGAUGUUUGGAGCUGCUGCGAUUAGCCAACCCUGAAAGGAGACAUGAAUAAAACACUGCCAACAGCACAGCUGAAAGAGGAACAAGUGGGAUACCUAAGAUAUCACCGAACAACCAAA